rnacentral:rRNA from 1 species
AGAGUUUGAUCAUGGCUCAGAUUGAACGCUGGCGGCAUGCCUUACACAUGCAAGUCGAACGGCAGCACGGGAGCAAUCCUGGUGGCGAGUGGCGAACGGGUGAGUAAUACAUCGGAACGUGUCCUGUAGUGGGGGAUAGCCCGGCGAAAGCCGGAUUAAUACCGCAUACGAUCUGCGGAUGAAAGCGGGGGAUCUUCGGACCUCGCGCUGCAGGGGCGGCCGAUGGCAGAUUAGCUAGUUGGUGGGGUAAAGGCCUACCAAGGCGACGAUCUGUAGCUGGUCUGAGAGGACGACCAGCCACACUGGGACUGAGACACGGCCCAGACUCCUACGGGAGGCAGCAGUGGGGAAUUUUGGACAAUGGGCGCAAGCCUGAUCCAGCAAUGCCGCGUGUGUGAAGAAGGCCUUCGGGUUGUAAAGCACUUUUUGUCCGGAAAGAAAACGCCCGGGUUAAUACCCUGGGCGGAUGACGGUACCGGAAGAAUAAGCACCGGCUAACUACGUGCCAGCAGCCGCGGUAAUACGUAGGGUGCAAGCGUUAAUCGGAAUUACUGGGCGUAAAGCGUGCGCAGGCGGUCCGCUAAGACAGAUGUGAAAUCCCCGGGCUUAACCUGGGAACUGCAUUUGUGACUGGCGGGCUAGAGUAUGGCAGAGGGGGGUAGAAUUCCACGUGUAGCAGUGAAAUGCGUAGAGAUGUGGAGGAAUACCGAUGGCGAAGGCAGCCCCCUGGGCCAAUACUGACGCUCAUGCACGAAAGCGUGGGGAGCAAACAGGAUUAGAUACCCUAGUAGUCC